UCAACGUACCUGUAAGGCGGGUAUUCAUCACGUGUUAGACGGGAACAGACACAAGGCAUUUUAGAUUACACAAUGGUGUGCAUGUCUGUGCAAUGGUGUGCAUGUCUGUGCAAUGGUGUGCAUGUCUGUGCAAUGGUGUGCAUGUCUGUGCAAUGGUGUGCAUGUCUGUGCAAUGGUGUGCAUGUCUGUGCAAUGGUGUGCAUGUCUGUGCAAUGGUGUGCAUGUCUGUGCAAUGGUGUGCAUGUCUGUGCAAUGGUGUGCAUGUCUGUGCAAUGGUGCUCAGAUAAGUUCAUCCAAGCAGCUAGUCUCCCUGACACUCAAUCCGUAUUUAGUCACAUAUUAGAUUAACUUCUAUUAAUGGUACAUUUAUCAAGUCAUUUAGUAUUGAUCAAUUCAUGUAUCAAAUCAUUUCAAUUUGCUAUUCGGGAACUUUGUGCCCUAAAAAACGACUUAAGAAGUCACCAUCGCACAUUCUACCAAUGUGUUGGCAGAACUGUAUAAUAGGUUUAUGCAAUGUUAAAAACCAGCAGCACGAUCACAUGGACACUCUAAGACCCCAGAUCUGAUUAGAUGUUAACAUGAUAGACAGCUUUAUACUGUUUCGUUACCGAAGACUUCAUCUGGAAGACUUUCAUAGCGUUUUUGCAAUUGUCUCUCUCUCUCUCUUUAAAAAGUUAAAUAUGCGCAGAUAACGCUGCGGCUAUGAAAAAGGUGAUGACGUAAAAUCUCUUUAUCAAAGUCAACCAACCAGGAGAGGACGUGCACAGGACAAGGAGAGGUGAAUUGUUUAGAGAUAUUUGGCCACGUAGGCAGAAAUGUGAGCCAUCGAGCUGUCACCACGUUUGAGUCCCAAAGGACACACUGUUCCCUAUAUCUUGCAAUAUUUUUGACCAGCUCUGGUCGAAAGUAGUGCACUACAUAGGGAAUAUAAUAGGGAAUAUAAUUUGAGACACAGUCCUUAUCUUCCCCCAGCAUCAGAGAGCUCUGUCAGUGGUUCCCAUGAACAUGUCAGGAGGAUUCCAGAGCGUGACGGACUAUGCUAGCUACAUCUCUACAGAGAGGUUCAGGAGAUAUAAAGGAACUAGCUACAUCUCUACAGAGAGGUUCAGGAGAUAUAAAGGAACUAGCUACAUCUCUACAGAGAGGUUCAGGAGAUAUAAAGGAACUAGCUACAUCUCUACAGAGAGGUUCAGGAGAUAUAAAGGAACUAGCUACAUCUCUACAGAGAGGUUCAGGAGAUAUAAAGGAACUAGCUACAUCUCUACAGAGAGGUUCAGGAGAUAUAAAGGAACUAGCUACAUCUCUACAGAGAGGUUCAGGAGAUAUAAAGGAACUAGCUACAUCUCUACAGAGAGGUUCAGGAGAUAUAAAGGAACUGGCUACAUCUCUACAGACAGGUUCAGGAGAUAUAAAGGAACUAGCUACAUCUGUACAGACAGGUUCAGGAGAUAUAAAGGAACUAGCUACAUCUCUACAGAGAGGUUCAGGAGAUAUAAAGGAACUAGCUACAGUACAUCCCAUAGCACUAUGAGUCUUUGAAUAUAAACUGUCCUGGCACAACCUGAGUAUGGAAUCAUUCAAAUUAAAUUAGUAAAAUGACUGUACAGAUGAUGAAGUUAAAUGUAAUCAGAUCAAAGUGAGAGAGCAUGUGAGGGAGUGCUAACCAGGUACUGUACAUCUACACUGUCUGAAGUCCCACACAAUUUAGACUUUAUUGUUUGUACCUGAAGCCCCAUACAGGAGAAGUACAGGGGCUUGGUGUUGACUUGCUUUGCUCUUAUACUUUUAAAACCUUGAGAAAGGAGCCCCAAAGGACCAUUUGUCUAUACGUCCUCAGGUUUAAAGAUAAUUGGGUGAGAAUAUCCUGCACGUUUCUCGGAAUAUACUGUAGAUAUUACUCCUUCCUCUCUUUCGUGACGAGAUGUCCCACAAUUAGGCAGGAGCCUUUGUGCCAAACAUCAAACAGUAAUACAUUGGAAUCUACGUCUUAAGCCUGAAGAGAUCAACGUAAAUUUAAAAAGCAAAAGCAAACUCCUCUGCAUGACAACCUAUCAAUGUCAGUUGUGUUCCUUUAGACCCAGAGAUCAAGGAGAAAUUACUCCAAGCCCACGCCACCUUAAUGUUUUUCAACAAAAAAAUUCUCCACACCUUUAAACAAUUAUGUUAAUUGUAUUCUGGAUUCAUUUGCAUUAGUUUCAAAGAUCAUUGCUUUUAAGCAAAUAAGCAGUAGUCGUCUUUAUUUUUGGUGAGAAGACAGUGUCUGCGUCCUAAGUAGAUCCUGGUCAAAAGAAGUGGAAUAGAGUGUCAUUUGGAAUAGAGUGCCAUUUGGAAUAGAGUGCCAUUUGGAAUAGAGUUCCAUUUGGAAUAGAGUUCCAUUUUGGAAUAGAGUGCCGUAUGGAAUAGAGUGCCGUUUGGAAUAGAGUGCCAUUUGGAAUAGAGUUCGGAUUGGAAUAGAGUUCGGUUUGGAAUAGAGUACCGUAUGGAAUAGAGUGCCGUUUGGAAUAGAGUGCCGUUUGGAAUAGAGUGCCAUUUGGAAUAGAGUUUGGUUUGGAAUAGAGUUCGGUUUGGAAUAGAGUGCCGUAUGGAAUAGAGAGCCGUUUGGAAUAGAGUGCCAUUUGGAAUAGAGUGCCAUUUGGAAUAGAGUUCGGUUUGGAAUAGAGUUCGGUUUGGAAUAGAGUGCCGUUUGGAAUAGAGUUUCAUUUGGAAUAGAGUGCCGUAUGGAAUAGAGUGCCGUAUGGAAUAGAGUGCCGUUUGGAAUAGAGUGCCAUUUGGAAAAGAGUGCCAUUUGGAAUAGAGUUCGGUUUGGAAUAGAGUGCCGUAUGGAAUAGAGUGCCGUUUGGAAUAGAGUUUCAUUUGGAAUAGAGUUCCAUUGAGACACAAUCAAUGACGCAUAGCCAAGAGAAUCUGAUUAAAGGAAUGACAUGCUCUCAUCUGAUUUUAAGAUCAAAACAACAGAGUCUCAAAGUAAGGCCUUGUCAUCCCACUGAAACGCUGUGUCUAGAGAAAUGAACUGUAUGAAUUGUUCAUAGUUGUUCUUGUAAUAUUCUGGCUGGUGACGUUAGUCACAUUAAUCUGGGAAAAUACAAGUGAGAGUUGAGGUUGAUAUUCUUCAAGAAUCAAUGGGUGUAUGACAUUCAUUAAAAGGAGCACUGAACCCAAUAUAACUAUAUACCAGAGUGUGUCUUUUA